AGCUUCAAUGUGAAAGAACCUUUUUCUUUUUCUCGGAAUGCUCUGUUUUAUAGCCAAGUGGCUCCAGAACACGGUGGACUGACGGCAGCAGAGAACACCCGGCCGAGAGUGUGUCCAGGAGUGACCAGCAGGGCGCGCGCCAGACUCGGAAAUGAGUAUUUUAGACUGUAGAUGUGCCCUGAAAUGCCUCAUCUCAGGGAGGGUGAGAAGAGCUUCUCUUAAGCAAGUGUGGUGUCUGCUUCUGGUGCUGUUUAUGGCAGAGCUGGAAACUGUCUUCGAAAUUAACAAUAGAUGUGCAUAAAUCUUCUUCAGUUACCUAGCAACUAAUACAAGACAACGCAGAGGUUCACAGGCUGGGUGGAGGUAAGCCUGUUUUAGGAAU
rnacentral:lncRNA from 1 species